AACGAACGCUGGCGGCAUGCCUAACACAUGCAAGUCGAACGAGACCUUCGGGUCUAGUGGCGCACGGGUGCGUAACGCGUGGGAAUCUGCCCUUGGGUUCGGAAUAACUCGCCGAAAGGCGUGCUAAUACCGCAUAACGUCGCAAGACCAAAGAGGGGGACCUUCGGGCCUCUUGCCAUCGGAUGUGCCCAGAUGGGAUUAGCUAGUAGGUGGGGUAACGGCUCACCUAGGCGACGAUCCCUAGCUGGUCUGAGAGGAUGACCAGCCACACUGGAACUGAGACACGGUCCAG
rnacentral:rRNA from 1 species